GCGUAACGUUGGUCAAGAUGGCGGCCUCCAUGAGAAUGCUACUUCGGAGAGUUGUCCGUCUGACUCACGGAGAGGUCUCCGUCCCCUCCGCCGGUGUUUCCCGUCUGCCAGGUCGAUGUUGGACGCCACCGUCCUGUCGUCGUUUCAGCGAAGCAACCGGAGAGAAAAGCACUCAUUUCGGUUUUGAGACUAUCCCGGAAGCUGAGAAGGCGAAGAAAGUGUAUAAGGUGUUUGAGAACGUGGCCCACAAGUAUGACGUCAUGAAUGACGCCAUGAGUCUGGGGAUUCAUCGCCUGUGGAAAGACGCGCUGCUGCACGCCAUGCACCCCCAGCCGGGCACGCGCCUGCUGGAUGUGGCCGGCGGGACAGGCGACAUCGCCUUUCGUUUCCUGGACUACGUCCGCUCUCAGAAGGAGCGUCAGAAGAGGCGGAUGGCGCGCUCCUUGCAGAUGCCGUCGUGGCGGGACAUCUCGGACGACUACUCCGCUAUAGACGACAGGGAGGGGGAGGAAGCAGCAGCAGGAGGGUCCUGGGACAGCAGGGCGGUAGUCUGCGACAUAAACAAGGAGAUGCUGAAAGUGGGCAAGGAGAAAGCUGACAACUUGGGCGUCGGCACUGGUCUGUCGUGGGUGGUGGGGGACGCAGAGGAGCUGCCGUUCGACGACAACCAGUUUGACGUUUACACCAUCGCCUUUGGCAUUCGUAACGUCACCCACGUAGAGCAGGCCCUGCAGGAGGCGCUGCGGGUCCUGAAGCCAGGUGGUCGCUUCAUGUGCCUGGAGUUCAGCAAAGUGACAAAUCCUGUGCUGGCUUGGCUUUAUGAUGCUUACAGCUUCCAGGUCAUCCCAGUUUUGGGAGAAGUGAUUGCUGGAGACUGGAAGUCCUACCAGUAUUUAGUGGAAAGCAUCCGCAAGUUUCCUGGCCAGGACGAGUUUACACAAAUGAUGGAGGAGGCGGGCUUCUACUGCGUGCGCUACAAGAACCUGACUGGAGGAGUGGUCUCGCUUCACUCUGGUUUCAAGCUGUGACGACACGGACCGGCGGACUCUUUGGCUGCAUGAGGCCUCAGCUCCUCACCUUCUGCUGACUGGACAGUAUUUAUCUGUGGGGGCAGGUGUGAUGCUGGAGCAGCCAAGGGUCCACGCAUUUCUUGUGGAACCUGUGAGCACAGGGGAUGACCCGCAACUCCUGCAGCGGGAACACAAAACCAAGACCAUCACAACUCCAGGCUUCUUUCCUGCUUUCCAUGUAUUGUCCACAAGGUGGCAGCAAAUCCUUUCACUUCUUUGCCUUCAACUAAACUGCGGCCACUUCCGGUAUGUAGCGAGGCUCUGUUGUGUGUUUUGACCCCCGACUGAGAGGAGUCCUCUUAAUGAGGGCCAGCCGUGAGCGGAAGAUGACAAUAAGCCGCUUUGGGGCCUGCUGGGGAAACAGGAAGCGUGUGACGACAUCCCAGACAGGCUGAGCUAGGACGGCGUUAUCUGGCCAGGUGCGCCAGGGAAGAUGGCGGGCCUGCCAACGUCUCCGUGCACGUGAGGGGAAAUUCCACUCUACUGUUGCUGCUUCACGCUGGGAUUGCUUUGCCCGCCAGUGGCCACUUGAGCAGACAUCACAUUCGUCCAUUACGUCCACUCAAUACAAGAAAUAAGCCCUUUUUUAGAGAAACACGUCCCAACAAGAUCAAUAAUCACACUGGCAUAAAAAUAUUAACAAAGUUGUUUUAUUGACUAGAAAAAAGUAUCAUUUUUCCAAAAAAGUUCUAAUUUUACCAGAAUAACGUAUUUAUUGAUUUACAGUAUCUACCUGGAAAAAACUGUUUUCAACAGAAAGCAAUUAAAAAGUCGUAUUGGGGGGGAUUUUAUGAGAAAACAAGUUGUAUUCUUUUGGAAAAUAUUACAUUUGUAUUUUUUUUCUAACAAAAACAUCCUAUUUUUCAAGGCUAUUUUUGACAGAAAAAAGGCUUGUUCUUGUUUUAUUCUAACUUUUUUUUCUUGCGAUAAAUCAAUAAAUACUUUAUUCUGGUAAAAUCAGGACUUUUGGGAAAAAAAGAUCUUUUUUUCUUGUGAUAUGGAUUGAUUGUAUGAUCACAUGACGUUGGUGAGAUGAGAGGAAACAUUUGAGAUGAUAAGAAGUGGAACAACUUUAGUCUCGUUAUUCUGCUGCAAUCAGGACUUUCUUGUCAAAAAAGCAGCUUCCUUCAUUUUUUAUGAAGGGAUUAUUUUUCUUGUUAUAUUAUGACUUUUUCUUUUUUUCAAAAUGCAACUUUAUUCUGGUCAGAUUUGGACUUUUUCUUUAAAAAAAUGACACCUUUUUUUCUUGACAAAUUGUAACAUUUCUCAUCAAAAUACCAUUUGUUCUCUAUAAUAUUGAUAAAAUAAAAAUAAGAAAUAAAACCCAACAUUAUUCUCUUCUCACUAUUUUUUUCUAACAAAAACUUAAUUUUCAACACAAUUUGUUUGUUUUGGAGGAAAGAAAGGCUUAUUUUUUCUUUAGAUAAAUCACUAAAUACAACUUUACCAUUUUUUUCUGCAGAAUUAUACUUUUUUUCUUGUAAUAUUAUGACUUUCUUGUUUUUUUCCACAUUAUGCUGGUCAGAUUAGGACUUUUUUUUUUCUCAGAAAAAUAAUAAUAGUUCUAAAAAUAAUAAUAAUAUUUAUAUAUAACCCAAAUGUAUUCUCAUCUCACCAUUAAAAAGUCAACAAAAACAUCCUAUUUUUCAAGACAAUUUGUUAUGUUUUGGAGGAGAAAAAAAGGCUUAUUGUUCCUGUUUUAUUUUAGCUUUUUUUCUUUAGAUAAAUCAAUAAAUAAAACUUUUUUUCUGGUAAAACUGGGACUUUUUAAAAUUGAAACACCACACCGAUUUUCUUGAAAAAUUAGGACUUUUCUUCUGGAGUUUUUUUUCUUGUAAUAUUAUGACUUUUUUUUAAACUAUUAAUUUUUGAUGAUAUCAUCAUUUGUCUUAUGAUAAUAUGACUUUUUUCUUAUUCUGGUCAGAUUAAAAAACAUUUUUUUCCUGAAAAAUUGAUCAAAUAAAAAGUCAUUUUUUCUAACAACAACAAUCUUUUUCAAGACAAUUAGCGAUGUUUUGGAGGAAGUCUUAUUUUGUAGUGCCCGCUGGAUCUGCUACGUGGCUUUUCCUGCUAACACGGAAGGUAUUUUCCUUGAAGAACGCGCCUUUAUUCCAUGUUUGGAGGUUUUGUGUAGAAAAGGCGUAUUUUGCGUACCUCGCCAUCCAUGUACUUUUCCAGACAGAUGGCGCAGUCCGACGUGGAGCUGCUGCUCAGCGAGUCGGCCGCCACGCAGCCGCUCUCGCGUUGGCCUUUCCCUUUGGCCUUGAACUUGUGCGUCUCCAUCUUCUCCAGCGCCUGCACCGCCAUCCUGUUCAUGGAGCUCUGGGGGGGGGGGGACACAAAGCAACAAUAAGAAAAGAUUUACCGCCCAACUAAACGAGUCCUUCUUCUUUAUGUGAGCAAAUUAAAAACACAAAAUGUUCGGGGGAAAAAAGUUACACGUUAGAAGAAGAAUCUUCCCUCCGCAUCUUUUUAUCAAAAUAAAUCAACAAUAAAAGUAAAAGAAGAAGAAGUAAAAGCGUCUUCAUCACAAGAUGACUCCGAUGUUGCUGGAAAAAAAAUUUCUUCUGGUGAAAUUUGCAUUCUUUUCUCAA